UACGUAGGGGGCUAGCGUUGUCCGGAAUCAUUGGGCGUAAAGCGCGCGUAGGCGGCCCAGUAAGUCCGUUGUAAAAGUCAAAGGCUCAACCUUUGAAAGCCGAUGGAUACUGCUGGGCUAGAGUCCGGAAGAGGCGAGUGGAAUUCCUGGUGUAGCGGUGGAAUGCGUAGAGAUCGGGAAGAACAUCAGUGGCGAAGGCGGCCUGCUGGGCAGUUUCUGACACUGAGGCGCGACAGCGUGGGGAGCAAACAGG
rnacentral:rRNA from 1 species